UUGGCAUUAUCAUUAUCUCAUAAAUUGUACAUCUUGAUGUUGUAACGCUAAUUAUGAAAAUCUGUCAACUAUAGGAACUAAUGUCAUUAGCUGAUGUAACAGUGGAGUUAGUUAAGAGGGGACACCUGAAAUUAUUAGCGACAGGCUGGUGUCGCCCAACGUUGUCAAUGCAGGUAAUUUUCCAGCCAUUUGAGGCCACUUUAUUAAUUGGGUGUGCAAAAUUUGAGUUGGGUAGGUUGUUAUAAUUUCAGCUACUAUAUGAGAUCAAGAUACUGUGUGAGCAGAAAGAGACAGGUGGAAAAAACAACAGGAAGUUAGUUGUUGUUUGGUCGCUUAUCAACAUCAUCAGCAGUCGCAGCAGCAGCAGCAGUGGCAGUGACAUGGAGCCAAUUAAGGAGGAAAUGGCGUGAGAAUCAGCAGUUGUCUUCUGAUCUGAUGGAGGGACGUUUUCCUUGGACCAGUUUGUCUGUUUAUCCUGGGUUGAGGAAGUAUUGGGGGCUGAGGCCUUGGCUCUGUGGCCUCCCAAGACCUCACCACCUUCACCUUCCCCUGUCGAGGUAGCCUGGAAGAAGCCAGAAGCAGCAUUACAUAUAUGGUGCAGCGUCAGCAACUUGCAGUGUCAUCACCAGGACUUGUAUGCCAGCUGCAUCACGAGAAGAGAGGAGGAUAUGGGGGACGCUUCGCUUUGGCCCCGCUAAGAGCUACACCGCACUCACAAGGAGUGAUGCACCUGCACUUCAUCACAAAAUGAAACACUUCCCUGUCCCAUCUCUGUUGUCUCUACAAUUCACCCCCGUCCACCAGUGUCAGAUGGUAGGAUCCCGCCUGGGCAUGGCCUGUCCCUGACCGUAAUCUCUUUAUGAUGCAGUAAUAUGUAGAGAGUGGGGGGGUGGGGGGUUCAGCCACAAAGAAUUAAUGUAUUAAUCCACCCCAUGCUGGGAAUAUGUAUCACGUGCCUAGUCCUUCUAUUGCUGCCACCAAAGAGUGAUGAUCUAAGAGUGUGUAUGUGUGGGAGAACACCUGAUUUUGUGCUGGUGUAAAAGUGUUAAUUUUUACAGUCAAAUAAUUUUUAAAUGUUACAUAAAUGAGGAGGAAAUCUGAAACUUUAGGCCAUAAUUUGAAAGCAAAUAAAUCUAAAUAUCACUCCGUGUCCGCCUCAAGGAAGUUAGUCUUUGUCUACACUGAUUUCUGAGGAGUCAACAUCCCCAUGUGGUGGCAAAAUAAACAGCAUGACGCACACACACACAUGCACAGACAGAGACAGAGAGAGUAUAUGAGCACCCUGCCUGGUAAUCUGCUGUAAUCUGGGGCUCUGGCAGUUCACUGACUUUGGAGUAGGGCUGGUGGUGCUUGGCAGUGUGCUCGAGUAGCUUUCAGCCUCCCGCCGUGGCUGGGAAAAACACAGACGCCGAAAAUAUCUGAACACACAUGCGAACCCACCACAUGUCUGCACACGCUUCAUCAGCAGUGGUCAGCAUCAGCACAAACAGAGGAGGUUGUGAAUAUUAAAUUUAUGGAUGUUUCUUGUGGUUUGCCUCAGUUAUUAGUUAGUUACAACAGGUUUCCUAAAGAGGACUGCUGGGAGGCCUUUAAUGGCUGGGGAUCCCUGGGGUUGUUUGUCAGUUGUGGUAUUGAGUGAUCUAUGAAGCAUCAGGGCAAGAUCACAGACCUUUCCACUGUAAAUGAACUGUAUCUUAACCUGAGCCUCUUGGAUAGGGCCCUAAUGGCUUGUCCUGCCUGAGGAGCUUAGGCCAAAUCACUUAAUCAGUAUCAUCUUUUAAAUCACUUAAAACACUCUUUUACAGACUUGCUUUUAUGUAGAGAUCAUUCUCAGUUGUCUUUAUAUUUCACUUUAAUUCCUAGUAGUGUUGAUGAUAAAUGAAUAUUUAUAUUUAUUAUAUUUCUGUAGCCUUCUGUGUGUCUUUAUAUUUGUCUCUAUAUGUUUGUCUCUAUACUCCUCCCUCACAAAAUGAAUAAAUCAUACUACCCC